rnacentral:rRNA from 1 species
UACGUAGGGGGCUAGCGUUGUCCGGAAUCAUUGGGCGUAAAGCGCGCGUAGGCGGCCCGGUAAGUCCGCUGUGAAAGUCGGGGGCUCAACCCUCGGAUGCCGGUGGAUACUGUCGGGCUCGAGUACGGAAGAGGCGAGUGGAAUUCCUGGUGUAGCGGUGAAAUGCGCAGAUAUCAGGAGGAACACCUAUUGCGAAGGCAGCUCGCUGGGACGUUACUGACGCUGAGACGCGAAAGCGUGGG